rnacentral:rRNA from 1 species
AACGAACGCUGGCGGCAGGCUUAACACAUGCAAGUCGAGCGCCCCGCAAGGGGAGCGGCAGACGGGUGAGUAACGCGUGGGAAUCUACCCAUCUCUACGGAAUAACGCAUGGAAACGUGUGCUAAUACCGUAUACGUCCUUCGGGAGAAAGAUUUAUCGGAGAUGGAUGAGCCCGCGUUGGAUUAGCUAGUUGGUGGGGUAAAGGCCUACCAAGGCGACGAUCCAUAGCUGGUCUGAGAGGACGAUCAGCCACACUGGGACUGAGACACGGCCCAGACUCCUACGGGAGGCAGCAGUGGGGAAUAUUGGACAAUGGGCGCAAGCCUGAUCCAGCCAUGCCGCGUGAGUGAUGAAGGCCCUAGGGUUGUAAAGCUCUUUCACCGGUGAAGAUAAUGACGGUAACCGGAGAAGAAGCCCCGGCUAACUUCGUGCCAGCCGCCGCCGCUGUAA